UCGUAACAAGGUUUCCGUAGGUGAACCUGCGGAAGGAUCAUUACAGAAUGAAAGUGCUUAACUGCAUUUUUUUACACAUGUGUUUUUCUUUUUUUUUGAAAACUUUGCUUUGGUGGGCCCAUGGCCUGCCAGAGAUUAAACUCAACCAAAUUUUAUUUAAGUCAACUGAUUAACUAAUAGUCAAAACUUUCAACAACGGAUCUCUUGGUUCUCGCAUCGAUGAAGAACGCAGCGAAAUGCGAUAAGUAAUAUGAAUUGCAGAUAUUCGUGAAUCAUCGAAUCUUUGAACGCACAUUGCGCCCUUUGGUAUUCCAAAGGGCAUGCCUGUUUGAGCGUCAUUUCUCCCUCAAACCUUCGGGUUUGGUGUUGAGCGAUACGCUGGGUUUGCUUGAAAGAAAGGCGGAGUAUAAACUAAUGGAUAGGUUUUUUUCCACUCAUUGGUACAAACUCCAAAAUUCUUCCAAAUUCGACCUCAAAUCAGGUAGGACUACCCGCUGAACUUAAGCAUAUC
rnacentral:misc_RNA from 1 species